rnacentral:rRNA from 1 species
UGCAUGAAGUCGGAAUUGCUAGUAAUCGCGGAUCAGCAUGCCGCGGUGAAUACGUUCCCGGGCCUUGUACACACCGCCCGUCACACCAUGGGAGCCGGUAAUACCCGAAGUCAGUAGUCCAACCUCGUGAGGACGCUGCCGAAGGUAGGAUUGGUGACUGGGGUGAAGUCGUAACAAGGUACC